rnacentral:tRNA from 1 species
GCCUGUAGCUCAGUUGGUUAGAGCAUCCGACUCAUAAUCGGCAGGUCGAAGGUUCGAGUCCUUCCAGGCCC